AUUCUUUUAGUUAAAUAUAUUUGCAAUGAGUUAUAAAAUAAAACAAAGGCUAAAAAAAUAAGGUAAAACUUUUAUCAACAACUCCAUAAAUACUAGAGAUUGGAAUAGGUUAGAUCGAUCGACAGAGAUUUACGGUUUCGUCUACGUAAAACUCAAGACAUAUCAAGUUGACCUAAUUUUGAGACUAUAUGCCACAUGAAAAAGUCAUUCACCUCUAUCAAUUCGACUUAUUUAAAUAAAUAUAAAUAAUAUUUUUUUAUUACUACUAUAAUUAUUAUAUUAAAUUUUAAUCUUUUUGUUAUAUAUUAAACUUUUAGUAAUUUAAAAAUAUAAAUCUUCUUUAAUUUGUGAAAUAUUAUAAAAUAGAAUUGAAGUAAGAUGUCAUAUAAAAUAAAAUAGAUUUUUAAAUAGAAUAGCAAGCCAUACUAGACUUUUAUCGAUGUCAAAACCAAAUCUAAAAAAUAAGUUUACGCCAUAAACUUGACUUAGAUGUUAAAUUUUUUUAAUGGACCAAACUCAAACCGUGUAAAAUCUAACUUAUUCUCACCCUAAUAAAAACACACAGUAGAACAUUUAACCAUAAUGGACUACAACCCUACAAUAUCCCUCCACCUAUCUCUAUAUGUAUUAACUUUUUAAAUAUUAAUAUUAUUUAUAUUUUAUUUCGGAAGUAGUAUAUCAAAAACCAAAGACCCAAUACACCCUGGCAAAAUUGUCUUCUCCCGUAAACCCUAGAGUAAGAACUUGUAAAUCAGUCUUCUAACAAACCUCCGUACAUCCUAUGUCAUAAGCAAAACGUAGCACGAUGAGGAACGAAACCGACAGUUGCAUCUUCACAGGAACAUAUGAGCUCUUUUCCGUAAAUUUGUGCACAUGUAUUUCUAUCUUCAUAGCAAUAGGAGUUUCUAUCCCACCAAAUAUUGUAUAGCAUUAUAGCUGCAACUUAUAGGACAUGUAAAUGACCUUUUGACAAAGCUCUUUCUAUCUACAUAACAAGUUUGAUUUGAAUGUCUUUAAAUUUAUCUCCGAAUAAUGGAAUCAUAUUUGUUUAUCCCAAACACACUACUUGACAGUUUGAUUUAUAGUUUCCACUUUUUCCUCACACCUGCGAAAAAGAAUAGAAUAAUCGAUGCUUUUUUUUUAAGGUUAUCUCAAACAUUCACGGCUAGGUUUGUUAUUUUCCAAAAGAGAUACAGGUACUCCUAGAGUAAUAUAAUCCUUUC
rnacentral:lncRNA from 1 species